CGAGGGCCUCCAGCAGGACCGGGUCGUCGCGGACCGGCGCCAGUUCCACGCCGUCCAGCAGCCGCUCGGCGGC
rnacentral:tRNA from 1 species